GGUAAAGGUGCACACAGUGAAGUGGGGGGCCAGGGAGGGCCUCACUGAGAAGAUGGCCUGGAGCAAGGGCGUGAAGGGGGAGCCCGUGAGCCCGUGCACAGGCCCCAGAGGGGAGCAUGCCAGGCCCAGGAGCCACUGGAGGGCUUGAGCAGAGGAGUGACAUGAUCUGCCUCCUGUCAUAACAGGAGUUCUCAGGGGACUGUGUUGGAAACAGCAAAGGGGGAUGAAGACAGCGGCAGAAGGAUCCUCGAUGAAGACUUGUGACAAUCCAGGGGUGGAUCCGGAUCAAGCAGAAUCCCAAAAGAAUCCUGCCUCCUGUUCUCAGAAACGAGCGCCUGCUUGGAGAGCAGUUGCUGAACACAGGCUUGGACGAAGAGGAAGUGGAUAG